GAUGAACGCUGGCGGCGUGCUUAACACAUGCAAGUCGAACGGUGAAGCCAAGCUUGCUUGGUGGAUCAGUGGCGAACGGGUGAGUAACACGUGAGCAACCUGCCCUGGACUCUGGGAUAAGCGCUGGAAACGGCGUCUAAUACUGGAUAUGAGCUCUCAUCGCAUGGUGGGGGUUGGAAAGAUUUUUCGGUCUGGGAUGGGCUCGCGGCCUAUCAGCUUGUUGGUGAGGUAAUGGCUCACCAAGGCGUCGACGGGUAGCCGGCCUGGGAGGGUGACCGGCCACACUGGGACUGAGACACGGCCCAGACGCCUACGGGAGGCAGCAGUGGGGAAUAUUGCACAAUGGGCGGAAGCCUGAUCCGGCAACGCCGCGUGAGGGAUGACGGCCUUCGGGUUGUAAACCUCUUUCAGCACCGACGAAGCGACCUUUGGGAGUGACGGUAGGUGCAGAAGAAGGACCGGCCAACUACGUGCCAGCCGCCGCCGUAAUAC
rnacentral:rRNA from 1 species